CUUUCAAUCUCUGUUCCCUUCCAGGCAGCAGACAGCGGUCGGAGAUACUGCCAACCACACAACCAGACACCACACGCGUACGCACACUGGGCCUGUGUGACUUGUGCGCUGCUCCACUCGUGUGUGUUAAUUCGCUCCCCAUGAGGCGCUGCAGGCUGUGGUAAUUAUAGAAGCUCGGCUAGCAGACUCAUCACAAGAGAGAAGUACAUUUAAAGCCACGUGCAGCUGCGCGAAUACAGAGCGGCGCUCGGACGACGGCGUUACAGAAAUGUCACUCAGAAGGAGGAGGCGGGGAGGAGGAGGCCAGAGGCAGCAUGGGAGGAGGGAGAAGAAGGGGGGGGGGG
ensembl:lncRNA